rnacentral:lncRNA from 1 species
UUUGCCUGCCUCACCUGCUGAGACUGUAAACUCUCCGAGCUUUUGGCAGCCUAUGCUCUGUGGAUGGAUUAACCUGGGACAGCAGGACUCUUCAUUGGCCUUUCUGUGGACUUGUGGGAAAAGUUGGGGCAAAGCACCAGUUUGCUAGAGUUGUCAGUGCCUCCCCUUCCAAAGCAGAGCAAGAAGAUUAACAACUUCCAUGUCUGCAAAGUGCUUUGAAAUCUACAGAUUAAAUUUAUGUGCUUAAAGUCAUGUGCAGCGCUAAAUACUAUCAUUGUCU